rnacentral:rRNA from 1 species
GACGAACGCUGGCGGCGUGCUUAACACAUGCAAGUCGAACGGAAAGGCCCUGCUUUUGUGGGGUGCUCGAGUGGCGAACGGGUGAGUAACACGUGAGUAACCUGCCCUUGACUUUGGGAUAACUUCAGGAAACUGGGGCUAAUACCGGAUAGGAGCUCCUGCUGCAUGGUGGGGGUUGGAAAGUUUCGGCGGUUGGGGAUGGACUCGCGGCUUAUCAGCCUGUUGGUGGGGUAGUGGCUUACCAGGGCUUUGACGGGUAGCCGGCCUGAGAGGGUGACCGGCCACAAUGGGACUGAGAUACGGCGCAGACUCCUACGGGAGGCAGCAGUGGGGAAUAUUGCACAACGGGCGGAAGCCUGAGGCAGCAACGCCGCGUGCGGGAUGACGGCCUUCGGGUUGUAAACCGCUGUCGCCUGUGACGAAGCGUGAGUGACGGUAAUGGGUAAAGAAGCACCGGCUAACUACGUG